CAUGACACAAAUUGACCGCAUGGUCGAUUUGUCAAAUAUUCAUAGGAUAUGGAUGGGCUCGCGUGACAUUAGCUAGUUGGUGGGGUAACGGCCCACCAAGGCGACGAUGUCUAGGGGGCUCUGAGAGGAGAAUCCCCCACACUGGUACUGAGACACGGACCAGACUCCUACGGGAGGCAGCAGUAAGGAAUAUUGGUCAAUGGGGGCAACCCUGAACCAGCCAUGCCGCGUGCAGGAUGACUGCCCUAUGGGUUGUAAACUGCUUUUGUUAGGGAAUAAACCCCACUACGUGUAGUGGGCUGAAUGUACCUAAAGAAUAAGGAUCGGCUAACUCCGUGC
rnacentral:rRNA from 1 species